rnacentral:lncRNA from 1 species
UGGCACUCUAAAUCAAUCAAAUAUUGACGCUCACCACCAUGUAAGCCUUUUUGUAUCUAGAUUUCAGUCCUAUGCUUACACCUUUUUUAAUAUAGAUUUGGAUACGAUGUACGUGUGUUUUUAUUUAUUUAUUAAUCUUUUUAGUGUUCAGUAUAGCAGCUGACAACUCCAGUGAGCUGAAUUAGGUACUUUUUUGCACCAGUUUUGGUAGUUAAUUGAUGCUGGCAAUUACAUGCAUAAUUGUUUUUUCACUGAGUUGAAUUUAGAAAGUAUAAGUUCAAGCUCAACCUACAUUUGCUGGAGCUACAUCCAAUGAUGAGAAUUCACAUUUGGAUUCUCCUAAUGGUUUUGGCGGAAGCUUCUGAUAUCUUUGAACCUUAGCACCACAUUAGAAACUUCAAGGUAAGAUGAGUAUUAUUACGAGUCAUUCAGCGAUAGCUGUAGUUGGUUGUUCACAGCUGGGUAUCGACAGGGACAUUUCCCGUAUGGCAAACGGCAUGAGAAAGGUGUUGCCAUCUUUCUGGAGCGGUCAGACAAUGCAAAUUGAUGCAUCAUAUGGUUGUUCAUUGUUUUAACAAGUUAAUGU